rnacentral:rRNA from 1 species
AGUGAACGCUGGCGGUAGGCCUAACACAUGCAAGUCGAACGGCAGCACAGUAAGAGCUUGCUCUUACGGGUGGCGAGUGGCGGACGGGUGAGGAAUACAUCGGAAUCUACUUUUUCGUGGGGGAUAACGCAGGGAAACUUACGCUAAUACCGCAUACGACCUACGGGUGAAAGCAGGGGAUCUUCGGACCUUGCGCGAUUGAAUGAGCCGAUGUCGGAUUAGCUAGUUGGCGGGGUAAAGGCCCACCAAGGCGACGAUCCGUAGCUGGUCUGAGAGGAUGAUCAGCCACACUGGAACUGAGACACGGUCCAGACUCCUACGGGAGGCAGCAGUGGGGAAUAUUGGACAAUGGGCGCAAGCCUGAUCCAGCCAUACCGCGUGGGUGAAGAAGGCCUUCGGGUUGUAAAGCCCUUUUGUUGGGAAAGAAAAGCAGCAGGUUAAUACCCCGCUGUUCUGACGGUACCCGAAGAAUAAGCACCGGCUAACUUCGUG